CCUACGGGUGGCAGCAGUGAGGAAUAUUGGUCAAUGGGCGCGAGCCUGAACCAGCCAAGUAGCGUGAAGGAUGACUGCCCUACGGGUUGUAAACUUCUUUUAUAAAGGAAUAAAGUGAGGCACGUGUGCCAUUUUGUGUGUACUUUAUGAAUAAGGAUCGGCUAACGCCGUGCCAGCAGCCGCGGUAAUACGGAGGGUACGAGCGUUCUCCGGAUUUAUUGGGUGGAAAGGUCGCGUAGAUGGGUUGUUAAGUCAGUUGUGAAAGUUUGCGGCUCAACCGUAAAAUUGCAAUUGAUACUGGCAGUCUUGAGUACAGUUGAGGUAGGCGGAAUUCGUGGUGUAGCGGUGAAACGCUUAGAUAUCACGAAGAACUCCGAUUGCGAAGGCAGCUUACUAAACUGCCACUGACAUUGAUGCUCGAAAGUGUGGGUAUCAAACAGGAUUAGAUACCCUUGUAGUC
rnacentral:rRNA from 1 species